rnacentral:rRNA from 1 species
GAUCCUGGCUCAGAAUCAACGCUGGCGGCGUGCCUAACACAUGCAAGUCGAACGCGAAAGCCCCGCAAGGGGUAAGUAGAGUGGCAAACGGGUGAGUAACACGUGGGUGACCUGCCUUCGAGUGGGGGAUAACGUCCCGAAAGGGACGCUAAUACCGCAUGACAUCCUGCCUUUGGAGAGGCGGAGAUCAAAGCUGGGGAUCGCAAGACCUGGCGCUUGAAGAGGGGCCCGCGCCUGAUUAGCUAGUUGGUGGGGUAAUGGCUCACCAAGGCUACGAUCAGUAUCCGGCCUGAGAGGGCGAACGGACACACUGGGACUGAGACACGGCCCAGACUCCUACGGGAGGCAGCAGUGGGGAAUUGUUCGCAAUGGGCGCAAGCCUGACGACGCAACGCCGCGUGGAGGAUGAAGAUCUUCGGGUCGUAAACUCCUGUCGAGCGGGACGAAUGCUCUGCGGAUGAAUAAGCCGCAGGGGUGACGGUACCGCUAAAGGAAGCCCCGGCUAACUCCGUGCCAGCAGCCGCGGUAAUACGGGGGGGGCAAGCGUUGUUCGGAAUUACUGGGCGUAAAGGGCUCGUAGGUGGCCAAUUAAGUCAGACGUGAAAUCCCCAGGCUCAACUUGGGAACUGCGUCUGAUACUGAGUGGCUUGAAUUCGGGAGAGGGAUGCAGAAUUCCAGGUGUAGCGGUGA